ncrna:unclassified sequences narK RNA
GGCGCGUGCCUUGCUAUAGACCCACCCAGGUAAUCAACGCUGAUUGCCCAUCCACGACAAAGACGCCGU